UUUCCGUAGGUGAACCUGCGGAAGGAUCAUUAUUGAAUAAACCUGAUGUGGCUGUUAGCUGGCUUUUCGAAGCAUGUGCUCGUCCGUCAUCUUUAUCUCUCCACCUGUGCACAUUUUGUAGUCUUGGAUACCUCUCGAGGCAACUCGGAUUUUAGGGUCGCUGUGCUGUACAAGUCGGCUUUCCUUUCAUUUCCAAGACUAUGUUUUUAUAUACACCAAGGUAUGUUUAAGGAAUGUCAUCAAUAGGAACUUGUUUCCUAUAUAAUUAUACAACUUUCAGCAACGGAUCUCUUGGCUCUC
rnacentral:misc_RNA from 1 species